CCUACGGGAGGCAGCAGUGGGGAAUAUUGCACAAUGGGCGAAAGCCUGAUGCAGCGACGCCGCGUGAGGGAUGACGGCCUUCGGGUUGUAAACCUCCUUCAGCAGGGAAGAAGCGAAAGUGACGGUACCUGCAGAAGAAGCGCCGGCUAACUACGUGCCAGCAGCCGCGGUAAUACGUAGGACGCAAGCGUUGUCCGGAAUUAUUGGGCGUAAAGAGCUCGUAGGCGGCUUGUCACGUCGGGUGUGAAAGCCCGGGGCUUAACCCCGGGUCUGCAUUCGAUACGGGCUAGCUAGAGUGUGGUAGGGGAGAUCGGAAUUCCUGGUGUAGCGGUGGAAUGCGCAGAUAUCAGGAGGAACACCGGUGGCGAAGGCGGAUCUCUGGGCCAUUACUGACGCUGAGGAGCGAAAGCGUGGGGAGCGAACAGGAUUAGAUACCCUGGUAGUCCACGCCGUAAACGGUGGGAACUAGGUGUUGGCGACAUUCCACGUCGUCGGUGCCGCAGCUAACGCAUUAAGUUCCCCGCCUGGGGAGUACGGCCGCAAGGCUAAAACUCAAAUGAAUUGACGG
rnacentral:rRNA from 1 species